rnacentral:pre_miRNA from 1 species
UGUUGUCCACGGCUCUUUUUCUGUUGUACUACUGUGAAAAACAGAUGAGCAGUGCAAUAUUAAAAGGGCAUUGGCUGACA